UACAUGAGGAAAGAGAAUGUGCAUAAAAAAUCGAGCCAGCGACUCUUUCAUCCCUCGUCUCACACACACCACGAUGCGCUGAAUCGCAGGCCUCCUCGCCUUCUACCAGCUAUUCUUCCAGCAAUUUCGCUCGGACUCGGAUCCGCUGCGCGCGCAGAGCUCUCUUCUCCCCACCCCGCGGCGCGCAAAUCCUUCCUCUCUCCUCUCCGUUGUGGCCUUCGCGCGAAUCCUCCCCUUUCUCCCGCGUCCACUGCACGCGAAAAUCCUUCCCCAAUCUAGCUGCUCCCGCCCUCGACUCUUCCGAUUUAUUUCUGGAGGCCGCGAAACCAAGGUCUGUUCCUCUUCUCAUCCUUCCUCUUCCCAUCUCUCUUCCCCCGCUCUAUUCAUGUCCGUAUGAUUCAUAGCCAGGUACGUGAUUCAAAGAUCUGAAAUCCAUUUGUCUCUUGUGGUGAUGAGCGGCCGGACAAAGCGAGCGAUGGCUCCGCCACCAAAUCAGACUGGAUCUGCUCCUUCAUAUCAUAUUGGAUCCGCUCCUGCUUCUGCGAAUCAAGUGCCUACUCCGGUUCCUGCAUUUCUUGGUGGUGGUUCUACUAUUCCUAGUACCGGAGGUCAAGCAACAUGGUGGCCUGGACCUUUGCCACAAGCCACAUCUUCCGGAGCCACAUCCACAGUUUGGUAGUUUUAUUUUUUUAUAUGUAAUUCUCUUGCUGCACUAGUUGUCAUUUUAUUAUGCUCAGAAAUAGUUAGUUCACUAGCUAUAUUAGUUUCAUUAGAAGUAACGAUAUGGGUCGCUUGAUUUUCAGUGGUAUGAAUUACUAUCCACCUGGUGGUUUUAUGAGUUUUUUACAAUCUGCCAACCAUUCAUACCUCGUGUUUCGGCAACAUGGCCACCUAUGGGAAAGGAAUCUCAAUUAGCACCACCCAAAAAUGAUUCAGGAAACAAAAAUGCUAAAAAGAGAUUGAAAGACAAAACUCUCAUCAACUUAGAUGAUGGAAACGAUGGUAGGACUGCAAAGCGUCUUGUAUUUGAAUCAGAGGAGGACGUGAGGCUAGUUAGUGCAUUGCUGAUUCACUCGAAUAACCCAAUCAAUGGGAAUUGCAAGAAAAAUGAGAGCAAAUGGAAAAUGAGAAGAGGAGGAAGAAGAAUAUGACAAGUGGAGCCCGCACGUCAGUGAUAAAGGAGAGGGGCUGCAAUGAAAUAUACGUAUUCAUAUAUGCCUGCAGCUGGGCCCAAGUCAUCUCCAUACGUAUUAAGUGACAUUUUUGUGGGAAGCCAAGAAUUGUAAUGAUUCAUACAGGUACCAUGUCGCAAAUGGAUGACAAUGAGUCUGCUGAUUUAUAUCUUCAAGCACUACUCAGCUAUAUAGAUUCAUGACCAAUGAGAGUUGCUGGCACCGGCGUUUGCACGGCGACUGACACCGUCCUGAGCUGCACCAACCUGAGCGCCCUUUCCAUCUGCGGGCGAUCAACAUCGGUCCGUGGGCUGGGUUUAAUCUGGAACAGAUCAGUCAUCAAACAUCGAUCUACAUGAUUUCCUGUAACUGAGACGGUUCACCCCCUGCGGUUAUGCAGUUAUGCAAUCUCUGCUAGCUGGCAUAAUGUUUCCAAAAGCAAUCAAGGUUACUUAUACUAGAAAGGGCUAAACGAAACAAAACAGGGUCUAAAAUAAAUGGCGGGGGCACGGCUGCAAUGUACUAUGCUGCAUGCAGGGGCACCAGCAAGGCGGUUGGGCCUGCUGCAAGGCACUGUAGCUAUUCAGCCCAUCAAGGGAGUGCCAACGUAAGUGUUGCUGCUAUGGUUCAGCCAAUUCUAGCGUUUUUUCUUUUCCAGUUCUUUCUUCUUUUCUGUCGCAAAAAUAUUUCUUAAGAACAUAUUUAUUCAUCGAUUCAUGAAUCAAAUAAUUUAUCUUGAAAAUGUAGAUGAUGAGUCAUUCAAUUUUA